rnacentral:tRNA from 1 species
GUUUUGGUAGUUUAAAUAGAAUAUAGCUUUGAAGAAGCUUAGGUGGUUGUCGACCUCAGAACA